rnacentral:rRNA from 12 species
UAUGCUUUAGGAGGGGCUUGCGCCAUAUUAGUUAGUUGGUAGGGUAAUGGCCUACCAAGACGAUGAUGUGUAGCUGGACUGAGAGGUUGAACAGCCACAUUGGGACUGAGACACGGCCCAAACUCCUACGGGAGGCAGCAGUAGGGAAUUUUCGGCAAUGGAGGAAACUCUGACCGAGCAACGCCGCGUGAAUGACGAAGUACUUCGGUAUGUAAAGUUCUUUUAUCAAGGAAGAAAAGCAAAUGGCGAACCAUUUGUUUGCCGGUACUUGAUGAAUAAGCCCCGGCUAAUUAUGUGCCAGCAGCCGCGGUAAGACAUAAGGGGCAAGUGUUAUCCGGAAUUAUUGGGCGUAAAGGGUGCGUAGGCGGUCUAGUAAGUCAGUGGUGUAAUGGCAACGCUUAACGUUGUCCGGCUAUUGAAACUGCUAAACUUGAGUUAGAUAGAGGCGAGUGGAAUUCCAUGUGUAGCGGUAAAAUGCGUAAAUAUAUGGAGGAACACCAGAGGCGUAGGCGGCUCGCUGGGUCUUAACUGACGCUGAGGCACGAAAGCGUGGGGAGCAAACAGGAUUAGAUACCCUGGUAGUCCACGCCGUAAACGAUGAGUACUAAGUGUCGGGUUAAACCGGUACUGAAGUUAACACAUUAAGUACUCCGCCUGAGUAGUACGUACGCAAGUAUGAAACUUAAAGGAAUUGACGGGACUCCGCACAAGCGGUGGAUCAUGUUGUUUAAUUCGAAGAUACCCGAAAAACCUUACCAGGUCUUGACAUGUUUUUGCAAAAUGAUAGUAAUAUCGUGGAGGUUACCAGAAACACAGGUGGUGCAUGGUUGUCGUCAGCUCGUGUCGUGAGAUGUUAGGUUAAGUCCUAAAACGAGCGAAACCCUUAUCGUUAGUUGCCAGCACGUUAUGGUGGGGACUUUAACGAGACUGCCAAUGAUAAAUUGGAGGAAGGUGAGGAUCACGUCAAAUCAGCAUGCCCCUUAUGACCUGGGCUACAAACGUGAUACAAUGGCUGUUACAAAGGGUAGCUGAAACGCAAGUUCUUGGCCAAUCCCCAAAAACAGUCCCAGUCCGGAUUGAAGUCUGCAACUCGACUUCAUGAAGUUGGAAUCGCUAGUAAUCGCGAAUCAGCAUGUCGCGGUGAAUACGUU